rnacentral:rRNA from 1 species
CCUACGGGAGGCAGCAGUGGGGAAUUUUCCGCAAUGGGCGAAAGCCUGACGGAGCAAUCUCGCGUGAGGGAUGACUGCCUAUGGGUUGUAAACCUCUUUUUUCAGGGAGGAAUAAAUGACGUGUACCUGAAGAAUAAGCAUCGGCUAACUCCGUGCCAGCAGCCGCGGUAAGACGGAGGAUGCAAGUGUUAUCCGGAAUCACUGGGCGUAAAGCGUCUGUAGGUGGUUUAAUAAGUCAACUGUUAAAUCUUGAAGCUCAACUUCAAAAUCGCAGUCGAAACUAUUAGACUAGAGUAUAGUAGGGGUAAAGGGAAUUUCCAGUGGAGCGGUGAAAUGCGUAGAGAUUGGAAAGAACACCGAUGGCGAAGGCACUUUACUGGGCUAUUACUGACACUCAGAGACGAAAGCUAGGGUAGCAAAUGGGAUUAGAUACCCCAGUAGUCCUAGCCGUAAACAAUGGAUACUAGAUGUUGAACAGAUCGACCUGUGCAGUAUCAAAGCUAACGCGUUAAGUAUCCCGCCUGGGAAGUAUGCUCGCAAGAGUGAAACUCAAAGGAAUUGACGG